rnacentral:tRNA from 1 species
GGUCCCGUAGCUCAGCUGGAUAGAGCGGCUGCCUUCUAAGCAGCAUGUCGGGGGUUCGAGUCCUCCCGGGAUCGCCA